rnacentral:tRNA from 1 species
CCAUCGCUGGCAGAAGGGAGCCGGCGGGGCUUCGUCCGCCUCGCCGCCGUUGAACUGCUGAUCAUGACAGCGGCGAUGGG